UUUAGGAAAGGGAAGAAAUGGAAAUUGAAGAUCUCCGAAAGUCUUUUCUCAUUCCCAGUUUAUGUAUAUUUAAUAUAUUAGUCCUCUCAUAAGUAUAUUUAUGUAGUAAGUGAAGACAGUUAAGGAAAAAGGAAAACGUGGUUAAUUGGAAGACAUGAACUCUUGGAGGUGAUGCCAAUGCUGCUGGUCUGAAGACCACACUUGGAGAAGCAGUUUCCACCACUUGGAGAAGCAGUUUCCACUACUUUGAGAAGCAGUGGCAUAGCGUGAUAGGCGUGUGACCCGUUUUGAUCAGUAAGCUAUAAGGACACCUGGGAAAGCUGGUCCUUCCCGAUAAGCAGCCAUCAGCCUUCCGAUUUUGAUGACUUCAAUUGGAAUUCUAAUCGUGCUUAAUUUCUGCCUCUUUACCCAUCCGGUGAACGUCAUGGACUUAGACCAUGUUCUGAAGCUGUUUGGUUUCUCUAGUUCCUGAAGGAAAAGUCCAUCUAUGUUUAUGGCUUUUUGCCGACGUUAUGGGAAGGGAUUCUUUAAAAACGAAGCCUUUUCAAGAAAACUUUAACGCUUGUUGAGAAACACAUAGCUUAUUUUAGCUUUGGAAGACUGGAGGGAAAUCUUGCUGUGAUCUUCUAGAUACACAACCCAGACCAGAAUGCUGACUGCUACCUGGCCAUCUCUGGAGUGUUUUGUUUUUCAGGGCCACGUAAGUUCCUGCUCAAGAUAGGGGAGAGAGUCUAUCGCUUCCAGUCCUAACAAGGCCUGAGAUCACUUCUUGUCAUAAUUGUACAAAACUAAUGGUAAGACUCAAUAUCAUGUGCUCGUUCUCCUUCUGCGAUAUUGCCCUAAUAGGUCCAGCUAAACCCCGAGGGCAGAAACGUUUUUCUUCUUAUAAGUUAAGCAUAGCUAGUCAAGAAAAGCAACGAUCUAGGGGCCUCAGACAAAAAAAAAAAAAAAAAAAAAAGAAUAGGAUGAUUGGCAUUCCAAGUACAGUUAGGACAAUAAGUGCAGAAUUGAACUUUCAGUCAAACAUUCAAAACCCAAAUUUAUAGCAAGUGCCCACUACAUACAAGGUACGAUGUGAGGUAUUGUAUUGUCAGAAAAAAUUGAGGAAGAAUACUGAAAUGGGCCAGAAACAGAAAGGAAAAAGGAAAAGAAAAAAAAAAAAAACCCAGGAAUUUUGAAUGUCUUGUCUAGCUAGCAUGACCUUCUGGGUUAUCUCUGAUUUUCAUUGUCUUUUGGUUAUUUUUGCAACUCUCUGAGUUGUAGAGAAUUGAUAAUAAUGUAAAUAAUAAUGUAAUACUGGUUUUGUCCAUGGAAGUUUAAGUUAAUUGUGUCUGGUGUAAAGGAAUUGAUUAUAACCCUGUGAAUAUACCUGUUUGGCAUCCCGUUGUGAAUUUAUUUCAGAAUUCCUUAUCUGAUUAUAUAUAUGUAUGGUCCUUUAAAUUCUCCUCUGGACAGGCUGUAACAUCUUACUCGUCCCCUCAUUAAUUAUCGAGUUAAAAUCUUUGACGGGUUUAUUUUAUAUUUGCAUGAGGAUCAGAUUAUACCCUCUUUUAAACAGUCUCUUUAGCAGUUUGACAAUAAAAAAUGUGAUUGAUACUUGC